GAAUCAUUGUUGCCACCUGGACAUCUGUUGUGGGCCACCUGAUGAGCACCUAAGCAGGGCCAGCACACCUGACGGUGUCCCCCUGUGGCUCUGGCCUCUUGGGAGCCUCCCAGAUGCUCCAAACACUUUUGGGCAUCAGUCCAACAACAACAACAACAGAAGCAGCAAUGGCGAAGUCAAUGGGGCUUUAAAAAUAAAUCCCAGCACUUCAUCACUCGUGUUUGUGUUUGUGACGUCUGCUGCCAUUGAGGAAAAACCCCCUUGAAUGAGACAGAGUUUGGUUCUUAAUAAUGGAAGCGCCGGUAAUAGAAACCCGCUGUCUCGCUGCGAAAUUGGUUUCGCAUUUUUGAAUGAUAGCCAAAGCAGUGAAAGAUAAAAAGCUCGCAAGGUUGUUUCAAUACAGCAUGAAAUUCAAGAGGAGUUCUCCUAAUUCGGUGUCUAGUCCCCCCCCUCCAGAAUACUGGAAUAAUCUCCACCCAGGAUUGACGACUGCACACAGUUCCUCUACUCUUUCUUUCCGGUAAUCUUCCUGAGAAACCAAGGUGGGACUCUUGGUUGAAAAGGUCACUGUCCUCCAGCAUUCUUGGCUUGGCAGGGGGGCAAGGGUCGGGUUGAAUUGGAGGGGCAGGUAACCAAGGGCAUUGAAAGUCCAGGGGUGGUACCGAAAUCGGGUUUGCCUCUUUUGGCUUUUUUUUGGUGGUGUUUUGUGGUCAUUGUUGGCUGGGUUUUAUGCAACAUUCCUCCUGGCCCAACGGUCCGUUUAGACGGCAGAAGUUUAGAAGCGAGUGGGGGAAGUGGCCAUUAAAAAGGCGGACUUUAAAAUCUCAGCAGCAACAAUAGACGCUGACCCCUCAAGCAAUUUUUGCGAUUGGGUACCUUCAGCCCCCCGUCAAAAAAAACCCCCUAAAUAGUAAAAAUGAUCACAUGACAUUGAAGGUUAACUCGGACAAGAAAAGGAAAGAGGAUAGCGUGAGGAAAUGCACUUUGUUUUGCUAGAAUGUCAUCCAAUUUGUCAAUCGCUCUAAGACUCUUUCUCCCGCCUCGAUUGAAAACGGCAAACUUUUAUUUUUUUUAUUUUUGGGGGUCAUCAAAACAAUGUUGUAGUUUGCCCGAAGGCAUGCAGCCAGAGCAAACGGGGUCAAGCUGUGGUCAAUUGAAGCUUCACGUAACCUCUCGUCUUUCUAUUUUUCCAACACUUAACGAGAGUCUCCUAAGGCAGGGCUCCCCUGAGACGGCUUUGUCGUCGUCCGCCGACCCGCCUCGCUCCUCCUAGGCGGCCUUUUAAAACAGAUUACAGGUAAAAUGGGUUGUUUUACCCCGGAGACUGCUGUCACUGAAAUAUGGAUGCGUUUGAAGUGCGAGCCCGUACGCAGUCAGCUCAGAAUUGACAUGUUUUGGUAUGAGCGGGAUCAGUCAUUCCGACGGCGCUAUCGCUACCCAGUUUGUCUUGUCACGGUGAAGCGUGGCCAAAUUCCUCAAACCCGUCGCUAUCCUACGGUUUCUGCUUGCUCAUCGCUUACUCUCUGCGACUUUGUGCAAAGGAGAGAUGAAGCCACAAUUCCGACAGUGGAUUUAUGCGUCGGUUUGUGUUUACGAAUUAAGUCCUUCUUGCAAAACAGCUUGCCCAAUAUAAGGGACUGCAAGUAUGUGCACUCUUUUUUUUUUUAAUUCUCAGGCGCGAGAUCUGUAAUCUGCUUCCAUACAGGAAAAAGUUCCAAACCCUCCGGCAUCAGAUAAGUGUGUUUUUGUUGGUGUUUUUUUUUUAAUCUGGGUCAAGCGCAUUUCUCUCGGCGCAUUUGGAGCAAUGCCUUUGCUAGACAGAGGUUAUUCAAGGCUGGCCUACAGGGAGCCGAUUAUGACUAAUGAGUUCCAAGUUAAUGUGACUGACCAGAGGCGGCAGCUGUCGGGAAAACCAGCCCAAGCGUUAUCGUGAGAUCUCGUCACAAGCCCACAGGAAAUGCACCGGUUGCCGACGCCGCUCACGUCGGACACCGGAUGUUGCGAGCUUUGUCGACUUAUAAGGAAAUAUUCAUUGGAUGUUACGGGCAACUUUAUAGCACAAAUGCUUUCACGAUCUUGAUGUUCAGUACGUCUCGACGUCAAACCGCAUGAUCCAAUUGAACCGCGUUAGGUUACAGGGUGCACGAAAGGGUUAUUAAUACAGCAUAUUGAUUCUUCAUGAUUGACUUUGCCAUUAUUGUUAUUGCGCAAUUAAUGGAAAAAAAAAGAAAGUGAAUACUGCUCUAUGCGUAUAUCUUGGCAAGCUGCAUCCAGUUUGCUUUUUUCCCCAGACAGAGACAAAAUCCCUAAAGGUACACUUUUGUUUUCCCCUAUACUUGCUUUAUUGAAAGCUGCGCUGUGAUACCUGACAAACAGAGAUAAGUGAUCAGUAAUUGCUUUGUGGUUCCAGGCCCUCAAAUCAAUUAUUUUGCCUCCCCGGCAAAAAUUAGAGCCCUUUAUUUGAACACAAGCUCCGCUUAGGUGAGUCAUCAGGGCUAAUUGAGACCUGGGGAUGGUGGCCCUUGUUGGCAAGCGACGGAAAUGUCGCUGUUAAAAGUUUUGCUCGUGCGGGAUUAUACAAACUUGAGCCCACCAAAACGCAUUAAACUGUGGCACAGGACAGCCGGUCAGAGCGUCGAGGUGAGAGCGGCAGGUGUGGAAAUGAUCUCAGACCCCACCCAGUUUUGCCGGGGCUCCUAUUCACCCCUCGCCGAAACUGCCAUACGUGCAUUUUGGCCGGCGAGCAGCAGAGAAACCUGGCAAUUAGAACAUUACGGCUGGCUGACUGAGCAACGUUCGCAGCUGGUGAGAAACAGAAGGAAGAAAAGCACCAGCAGAGUGCGAGCGUUCCCACCGGAAAGCGAUCCAGCACAUACAGUCUGGAGACUGCGUAGAUGUGCCUCGGGAGGGAGGUGGGGGGGGGGGGGGGGAUUCCGUGAUGCCACCCCACCCCUUAGGGGGGGACAAUAGGGUGUGGCCAUUUAAUCCAUCAGUGAUUUGCUGCGGGUUUAAAAUCGUUCAUUAACUUUGAGUGCGACUCACUCAAUUCUAAAUAUUUUUUUUUUCCGACAGAGGAAAUAGUUGUCUACACCGUAUGAUUAGAGACUUGUCCAGAUCAUGCUGUGAAUGAUUGUAGCACAUGCCUGGCGUCAAUCUGCAAAGAGGUGUGCAUUCUUGGCGUUUUCCAAGGAAAGCUAAAACCUGCUCAUUAUUUAUUGAUUUUAAACGAGAACGGUCCGUGACUUCGUUCUAACAAUUGGUGCUUGAGAUUAAACACCCCCACGGCCUCUCUUGGUUCUUUUAUUCAUCGGAUUUCAGUUGACAGAUGGAUGCAGUUGUAGCUGCUCAGAGCGGCCAGAUGUGGGAGCAUACAAGCAAUGUUUUAUUGACAAAUCAGGAAUGUACAGUAUUUUGUAAUACAAGAACGUAUAGUCAUUAUUUUUUUGGGGGGGUGGGGCUAGUUAUCUGCAUAAUGCACAGCGUUUAAUUAAUGAAACAAACGAGAAUCCACGGGUUGAGAUUGCGCUGCUUUAGAUCAACUCAACUCAGAUGGACGCGACUGGAUUCCGUCCUGGUUCAACUCAACUCGCCCCAACCCGAACUUGACUCCGCCGGAACGCAACUCCACCCAGCUCAACUCAGAUGAACUCCCCACAUUUCCCUCAGCGACACCCCACCCGAGCUCGACUCAAUUCCAAUCUUCAGCCCGACUUCCACUUCAAUUUUAAUCUUAUUUUUUAAAUCAAAUCGUUAGGCUACACAUCACAAUCAAUUCAUUGUAGCCUGGGUCUAAAUAUACAUUGAGGUAUUAACCGAUCGAAUUGAUUUUGCCCCAUGUUAAGUCCUUUUUAAGGGUCUGUUGGUUUUGUUGAGUUUUUUUCCUUUUUUAAUACGCUCCACUGUGUCCACUUGCAUACCUGAACCGAUGCUAUAAGUAAUCAAAUAGGAGCCUUUCAUGUGAUGUCCCACCCAGAGGCUUCUUCUUCUCCCUUGAAGGAGACAAUACGCCAAUUCAUUACCGGAGCUGCCUCUUCAAAAGCCACUCAGCCACUCCGCAUCGAGAAACUCUAAACUCGCAUCCCAGACGGGCUCCUUGAAACACCCACUCAACCCCCUCUGGGCGCUGAGGUGACGGCUGGAUGAGUCCACAUAAGUCACGGUGGCCUGCACACAUCCCCUCCUUAAAGCCUGCCGCGCCACACCUUUCCCCCUCGAGCGACAGGUGGAUUAUUGGGCACUGGUAUUUUUGCAUUCCCUCGCCCGGCUUGCAGCACGCACGUUAACUGCGGGAAAGACAGUUGAGAUCCUGAUAGGUUGAGUGAUGCAACUUCCUGUGGAGCAUUUGUCUGGCAGAAUGCAGGACAGUAUUCCAAAUUUUUCUGUGGUGGGUCGAAAUGAUUUGCUGAGGACAUGACUCACGUGUGAAUUUCUUUUUUUUUUUUAUUAAGAAAAUAAAGUAUAGUUGGGAAAUGGAGUAGCAACAACACUGUAUCCCAUUUCUAAAGUCUAAAUUUUAAGUAGCACGGGCAGGCAACACAUGCUAUCAAGCCAAUGUUUACACUUGUUGACUGACUAAAUCAUAGUGGCCAUAAACGCCGUCAAGAUGUUUCGCGCUCCCGUCAUCGUUGAAUUUGUAGCAUCCUUUUGUGCCUUCGUCAAGUGUAUUCAAAGCAAGUCCUUCCGCCGUGUUUGUUUUUUUCUCUGUCAUGCUUUGUCACGACCUCAGGAGGCCGUUGAACCACUUGAGGGAAACAAAAGUCGCUUGACCCUGUGCGCUUGAGGGGGAUUCAUGAAGCGAAGCGCUGUUUGUUCACCAUCCGCCGUGAGCUUUACUCGGCACGCGUUGUUUUGUCUGGCUAUUUUGAUAGUGCUUUAGAAUUUUUUUUUUUUGAACUAUGAGGUUUUUUUUAAGAUUGUAAAGCCUGAACAAACACAGCUCGGCUUGAGUCAUCUUUUCAUCUCCGCAGCCACGUCUCCUAAUUGUUAUUCUUUGGGGACAUGCUUGGAAUCGCUGCAGAUCACUUUUAAGCACGCUCACGCGACACAUCGAUUUAAGAAGCGCUUCCUUCCGUGGGUGGCAAAAGAUAUCUCUCUGCAUUAUUGUCUCUCUCUUUCUCCCCCGGUUCAAUUGUUCUUUGCCAAGUCUGAUGUCAGCCCACGGAGCGCGCGUGUACAGUUUCUGUUUUGACACCAUUUCCUAAUUACACAUGUAAAUGAUUGAUCACCUGGUCUCCAGGCAAGCGUAGAUGGAGGUCCUCAUGACAAAGAUGUUUCUGUGAUUAUGCCCAAGUUCAGGACACUCUGUCCGCCGCCGGGUAUGAAUGAAAGCGAUACCUGUGCAAGGCCCGCGAGGUGGGCGAUUAAGUUUUGAGCACCUGCCGUUUGGACCCAAGUUUGUCUCUUUUAGUGGGCUCGAGCUCCACAGGUGUGACUGGGUGUCUGUGGCUUUUUUUUUUGGAGGGAUGUGGGGGGGGGGGGGGUCUAAUCCCACGCAAUUUAAAUCCGAGCUGGCCGCUCGCACCUCUAAGCCGACUCUUUGACACCCGAGUAGCCUGAGCGCUUGAAGGCACAACGGCGCGACUUUUGUGAAAUGCGAUUUGGCUAAUUGAUUUUGGAGUGGCCAGUUCAGAGCGCCCGUGGUGGAAAACUGAAACCGCUUCCCCUCCGUGUGAUACGAAAUGACGCUGGAUGCAAAACCCUUGCCCGUGCUGUCUGGAAAAUAAACAGCCGGCCCGAAGUAGCCGCUAUUCCCCUGCUUUCACAGAUGCAUUUAGAAGCUCUCGUUUCCCUUCUUCGUUCAGAAACAGCUGUUGAUUCAUCUGCACUUUGACUCAGGUAUGGAGCCAAUCUGAGGGCCAGGAGGGUUUUAACCCCAAUCUUCUCCUCUCCUCCGUCUCGCGGCCUGGCCCACAUGGGCCGAGCAGCUGCACUUCCCAUUGAUGUGCCGGGUUGCCUGGAUGGCUGCCUGGCUGGAGGGAGAUAGAUUGGAGGGGAAAUGGCUUAAUUGUCCUCACUCUCACUGCUGGAAUGCAAAUAGCCCUCCACUGUUAAGAAGCCUCCUCGGCGAGGAAAACCCCACGCUGAGGAGCAUCAAGAUUUUUUUUUUCCUUUUUGUCUUUGCGUGGAGUUUUUCCUUAUUUUUCCGAAGCGUGAGAGAAUGGCCGUAUUGCUAUUAAAUAGUCUAUUGUUACUAGAAAUGUAUUCAGAAUGAUGUAUGACCAUUUAGGGUGCGGGGUGGGGGAAAUCAAUUGUGAUUUUUCUCCCCUGAUCCUAAUGAUGGCGUUACACCCACAUGGUCACCAGGGAGCCCUCAAGGACUACGUGAGUAGCCCGCCGGUCUAUUCCAAAAAUAGCUCAAAGGUGAUUAGACGUUGUGACUCUCCAGGAAUAUCGUCGAAGCGAUCAUUUCAAAAUGUGAACACUGGCAGAGGUGUGGCCGACUGAUAUUGAUCUGUUUCAUCACUCUUGUGAGAAACCGCUAAUGUGAUCAAUGUCUUCUCAGAAAUAAAUAGCGUGGAUCAUUAAUUAUAACAAAUUUGAGCAAAUUUAUUCCAAAAGUGCAUACUAUCAGCAGCACCCCACCACCGCCAUUCCAAUCCAACAAGUGCUGUGAAAAUGUAUGUAUGUAUGUUUGUCGGCACUGAGUUUGUAAUGCGUAUUACUCCCACCAGGAUGACUGGAGUGGAGCAGUAUUGUUUAGGUUCUUCAAAGGAGUCAUGUUUAGGCUUGUUCAACGUUGUCCGAGGUGUAGUCAUACCUGUUUUGUUUUGUUUUUUUCCUCAGCAUGCAAAAUCGCCGUUUCAUAGCCCAGUAGGCUUCGCCAUUCAUCAUCGCGAGGUCAAGCAGAUAGACAGGUAGCUCCUUCCUGGUCAUCAGUCUUGGCCCCCGAGCUGACGGGAGGCUGCGCCUUUCUCAGAAAACGUUUGCUCUGACGCAGACUGUCUCCUCACCUCCACAAGAGGGCCGGCGUGAUGUUUUCAGCCGUACACGCAAAGUGACGCGUGUGUCAUUCAGACCGGCGUGAGGCCAUCGACAUUUAAAAGCUUAUAUCAGCACCAUUUUGAGGCACUUCAUGACCACUCUAACAGCGCGUAGUGCAAUGGACGCGAUUCCUGGUAAGGUUCUCCAACAAGGACCAGUUCUCAACACGGACGUGCAGCGGAGGGCCUGCUACUGCCACCUCCAAUGAGAACACGGGGCAAAGCCAGCAAAGCGCAACAUUUGAGUGAUCCGAGGCUCGGUCCGGACCCGGUCUACUGGUCGGACAGCUGCUGGAAGUCUUUCCGUCAUCGCGUCAGCCUCGCCGAGGAGCUCUCGACCUCCACCUAAACCCGCGUUGUAGCCCCCUCAGAGACUGGCAUUGACACCGUCCUGUUGACUGCUGAACGAGCCACCACUGCUGUUAGGAUCCAACCAAGAGAAGAUUCCGGGUUGUUGCAGAAGCACCGAAGUGGCGUUGCACCAAAGUCCAGCUUUCUGUGGAGACGUGUGUUCCGCAGUGAUAUGCAUGAGAGGCAAGAGUCCAGUCUGGACCUGCAUUUGAUUCCCGUUACAGCGCAACAAGUGGCUGGCCCGCAUUGGAAGAUGAAGUUUGAUUCCCGUGGAAAGGUCAUCCGAGCCCAGCGAGAGUCCUGGUUGAAGUUUAAACAGGCCACACUGUCUUCCUGCUCUCCAGAACAUACUGGCUUCGUAGCAACCCCCAGCGCCAUGGCAACGGCUGACUAUGUCAUCGCAGAGGGAGCGACUACUCGGUGGGUGAGAGCGUGCUGUGUUUCCUAUUCAUCCAAUGUCCUGCUUGCUUUAUUUAUUCUCCCUCCUCCAGUAA